rnacentral:rRNA from 1 species
AACGAACGCUGGCGGCAUGCCUAACACAUGCAAGUCGAACGAGACCUUCGGGUCUAGUGGCGCACGGGUGCGUAACGCGUGGGAACCUGCCCUUAGGUUCGGAAUAACUCCCCGAAAGGGGUGCUAAUACCGGAUAAUGUCUUCGGACCAAAGAUUUAUCGCCUUUGGAUGGGCCCGCGUUGGAUUAGCUAGUUGGUAGGGUAAAAGCCUACCAAGGCGACGAUCCAUAGCUGGUCUGAGAGGAUGAUCAGCCACACUGGGACUGAGACACGGCCCAGACACGGAGGGGAGGCAGCGGGGGGAAAUAGUGGAAAAGGGACGAAAGCCUGAACGAGCAGUGGGGGGUGAGGGAGGAUGGCUUAAGGGUUGAAAUGCUCUUUGACGGGGGACAAUAAAGACGGGGCGGGAAGAAUACGCUCGAGCAAACCCCGCGCCAGCAGCGGCGGUAACAAUCGUAGGAGCCACUUAUGAAC